GCUUACCGUGGCAGUGACGGUUAACGGGGGAUUAGGGUUCGAUUCCGGAGAGGGAGCCUGAGAAACGGCUACCACAUCUAAGGAAGGCAGCAGGCGCGCAAAUUACCCAAUUCUAACAGCAUAAGAGAGGUAGUGACAAGAAAUAACAAUACAAGGUAAUUAAAUUGCUUUGUAAUUGGAAUGAUAGAAAUUUAAACACUUUUUAAAGUAUCAAUUGGAGGGCAAGUCUGGUGCCAGCAGCCGCGGUAAUUCCAGCUCCAAUAGCGUAUAUUAAAAUUGUUGCAGUUAAAAAGCUCGUAGUUGAAUUUCUGUUAAAAAUAACCGGUCUGCUUUUAUUAAAAGUGGUAUCUUGGUGUGUUUUUAGCAAUAAUGUCCUUUGAAAUGUUUUUUACUUUAUUGUAAUAAGUCAUUAUUUUGAGGAUUUUUACUUUGAGAAAAUUAGAGUGUUUCUAGCAGGCUUACGCUUUUGAAUACUGCAGCAUGGAAUAAUAAGAUAGGAUUUUAGUUCUACAUUAUUGGUUUUAAGAACUAAAUUAAUGAUUGAUAGGGAUAGUUGGGGGCAUUU
rnacentral:rRNA from 1 species